rnacentral:misc_RNA from 1 species
CCCCGCCAACACAUCAAUGGAACCAGCCAGGCGCGCACUACCUCCACACACACAUGCGAAACGCAUCCUCUCUCUUCUGUACUCUGUUUUCACUGCGACACGACUCUCACUCCUAACGUGGACUGCUAGGAGAGAGUAGCUCGUCUGCUCUCGCAUCCUUGCCGGUUCUCAUCUCUCUUCUCCUUAUCAGAGGGGAGGGAGUCUGCGCCGGUCCAUCUCUUCGCAUCCUUGCUCAACCGUCGGAGUAGCCAAUGAGAGGCGAUGAAGAGUGCAGACCGGGAAGCAAACCGCCACAAGCAUCGAGGUUUCAUCUUGUCGUUUGCCUGCUCUUCUCCGCACUUAGGGCCUCUGACUCGCUUGCUACUUGACGUGUGUCCCUGCCCGCAUCCACCGAGCUGCACCUCCAUGAACAGGUACCCAACACACAGCUAAGGAGGCGGCGCAGCUCCACGUUUGCCUGCGCAUCUCUAUGUCUGAGUGUGCUGCUAUGCGUGCAGUGGCGCCGUGGCAGCCCGUGUGCACACUACAGCUAAAACUUCUCCUCCUAUCGCUGCUCUUUUCUGUGAGCUACUUGGCGCGUUUCUUUUCUAUUUGUGCUUCGCUCUGCAGCGCUGCCUUCUCGCCUUCCUCACGGCAAUUGUUUUUUCCGUCUUCCUCUCUCAUCCUGACAGGGGAGGGGACGGCACACCGCGCAGCGCGUGGUAUUUCAGGGGUCUGCACCCCAUUGUGUGGGGAGGCGAGGCAGCCUCCACUACCCCUGCCAAUGCACAAGCACCUCUGGUGGUGACAGGGUCAGGUGCCUGCGACGAAGGGAGGUCAGAGCGAUGCAUGGCUGCUGAUGCCGGCGCUCAGGCCCUGGAUGGCGUUGCGUGGGGGCGACCUGCGACGGUGAACGCGUCUGUGCAGCCCAUAUGGCCAGGCAGCGUGUGAGCGUGACUGGAGUGCUGCACCUCAUGCGCCCCUCGCUGGCCACUGGUGUGGGGAGCCUGAGCCGCCCCGCGGCGGGAUGCACGAGGUGGCGACCGGCAUAGUGGGGGCAACUGUGGUGCUGACUGCGAGGCGGCGGGUGGGUAGAGCUUGAGGGCAGGGGGCCGUGCUCGGAUGGCUGGGUCGGCGCACGACUGUGAUGCGUGUCGAGUGCUGCUUCGCGCGACGCGAUGGGCCUGCGACAUGCCGGGCGAGUAGGGUGGGCCUGCACUCAUGUUGUCUAGCAGUGCAUGAAGGCAUAGAAAAAAAAGAGGUCUUCUUUCCUUGACGUUAUCCUUUGUCGGUGCUUCCGGCAUGGUGGUGCAGCCGUAGCGGCAGCUGCGCGCCACCCCACCCUAUCUACUUUCUCCCUCAUCUCCUCUGCCAUCUCUUUCGUGCUUGCCACUUGUUCUUUGGCCUCUUCCCGAAG